rnacentral:rRNA from 4 species
AUAAUGACUCUCGGCAACGGAUAUCUCGGCUCUUACAUCGAUGAAGAACGUAGCAAAAUGCGAUACUUGGUGUGAAUUGCAGAAUCCCGUGAACCAUCGAGUCUUUGAACGCAAGUUGCGCCCGAAUCCUUUUGGUCGAGGGCACGUCUGCCUGGGUGUCACGU